GAAGAACUUGUGUGCUUAGACCUGACGCUGGGAGGAGAUGCUGCCACCUAGGUUACUUGUAGGACCCUAUACGGCAACCUCCUUUGCCAGGAACUAUUUAUAAACAUCCUGCAGGAAAAUGGUAGCUGAGACCAAUGAUGCUGACCUCCCUCAAAAGCUGCAUUUCUGAAUUUCUGAAGGCAAACUGUCUGCCUAUAUUGUACAGCAAAAUAAUUUCCUGUAUUAAAACGUUUUUAUUGCUCUAAAUUUCUAGAUUAAACUCUGCUUAGGUAUUGCUAAGAGGGUAGCCAAGUAUAGAAACUUAAAUUUACUGACAGAAAUCUAGAGAAUGCUUAAUUUUUUUUCCAGCAGUGAAGUAGAAGAGACAGGGAUAUCCCAGAAGGUUAUGCAAAACAUCAAGAGAAGAUGAGAGGAGUCUAUAUGUCAGAAUACACAUUUCCCACCUUGCCCAACAGUAGAAAAACAUAAGAAGAGAAAAACAUUAAAAAAUGACAAGGAAGUUAAUGGAAGUCAGCAAUGUGAUGGUGUUUGGAGGUGGAGCCUUCAGAAGGUAAUUAAUGCCCUUGUAAGAAGAGGCCAGAGAGCUUGCGCACCUUCUUCCUGCCAUGUGAGGAGCCAAGAAGCCGGCUGUCUGCAACCUGCAAGAGGACCCUCACUAGAAGCUAGCCAUACUGGCAUCCUCAUCUUGGCUUUCCAACUUCCAGAACUGUGAGAAGUAUAUGUUUGUGGUUUAGUCAAUGGUCUAUGGUAAUUUUUUUAUAGCAGUCCCAGCCAAGACAGUGCCUCAUUUACUACAUACCAUUUAUAUUAUUAUAUAGGCUCCUUUCAGAAACCCAUGUUCAAAUAAGAGAUAAGAUACUGAAACACAUAACACCUUCACUAGUUUUUAGUAUACAAAUAUUGAGAAAUAGUUUGUUAUUAACUAUCUCAUCCAAGAAAUGCAGAUUCAUGUUGUUUCUAAUUUUUUAUAUAUAAUUGACAAAAUGAAGAAACUUAACACCAUCCUAGAUUUUAGCUGCCCAAAGAAUGAAAAGAAUGAAAAAAAAAUCUUUGAAAACCCACAAGUGAUAUGGAUCUAAUUUAUGGUUAAAUAGAUAUAGAUAACAAACAGAAUACGCCUGUUUAAAACUGUUAAAAUGACAUUGGUUCUAAUUAUACUUUUAUUUAAAUUGAAAGACAAGGCAUUUAUAUGGUAUCUCUAACCAUCACAACUUUUGUGUGACAAAAAGAAAUUAUCACCAAAAUACACCUCCUUAAGUAAGUGUCUGAUUUCACACUUCCAGAAAAAGUGCUCUUUCUGGUCAAGCCAGCAAGAAUUGAGAAAGAUUAAGAAAGUGCUUCAAAGAUGUUUAUUAAAAAGUUGUCAUAAAAAUGUGAAGUAGAUGUAGCAUCAAGCAUACCAAAUAAAGUAAAACUGUCAUCAAGAAGAUUCAACAGCUAUGAAAAGAGUUCUUCAAAAUAUGAUAUGUUUUUCUAGAUGAUAAUAAAAUUUAUCAAUUCCAAAUGUCCACAUUAGUCUUUCAUAAAGACACCAAUGAGUCACAGGAAAAAAAAUUAAAAAUAAAAAAACCCUAUCUCAGGGAAUCAUGC
rnacentral:lncRNA from 1 species